GGUGGCUCAGUGGUAGAGUGUUUGCCUCGCAUGCAUAAGGCCCUGGGUUCGAUUCCUCAGCACCA
rfam:Dipodomys ordii contig_2651, whole genome shotgun sequence.